GGAAUAUUGGGCAAUGGAGGAAACUCUGACCCAGCGACGCCGCGUGCGGGAUGAAGGCCUUCGGGUUGUAAACCGCUUUCAGUAGGGAAGAAGCGAAAGUGACGGUACCUACAGAAGAAGCACCGGCUAACUAUGUGCCAGCAGCCGCGGUAAUACAUAGGGUGCAAGCGUUGUCCGGAAUUAUUGGGCGUAAAGAGCUCGUAGGUGGUUUGAUACGUCGGGUGUGAAAUUCAGGGGCUCAACCCCUGACCUGCAUUCGAUACGGUCAAGCUAGAGUUUGGUAGGGGAGACUGGAAUUCCUGGUGUAGCGGUGGAAUGCGCAGAUAUCAGGAGGAACACCGAUGGCGAAGGCAGGUCUCUGGGCCAAUACUGACACUGAGGAGCGAAAGCGUGGGGAGCGAACAGGAUUAGAUACCCUGGUAGUCCACGCCGUAAACGGUGGGCGCUAGGUGUGGGGGACAUUCCACGUUCUCUGCGCCGCAGCUAACGCAUUAAGCGUCCCGCCUGGGGAGUACGACCGCAAGGUUAAAACUCAAAUGAAUUGACGG
rnacentral:rRNA from 1 species